rnacentral:rRNA from 1 species
GAGACCUGUAUCUGCAAUUGCUAACGGCAUUACGAUGGACCGAGCACAUUGCAGGGACUGCCUUGGAAACAAGGAGGAAGGUGCAGGCUACGGUAGGUCUGUAUGCCCCGAAUCUCCUAGGCUACACGCGCGCAACAAUGGUAGAGACAAUGGGAUGCAACUCCGAAAGGAGAAGCUAAACCUCUAAACCCUAUCCAAGUUCAGAUUGAGGGUUGCAACUCACCCUCAUGACGUCGGAAUCCCUAGUAAUCAGGUUUCAUCAAAGCCUGGUGAAUAU